UACAGAGGGUGCGAGCGUUAAUCGGAAUUACUGGGCGUAAAGCGCGCGUAGGCGGCUUUGCAAGUCGGGUGUGAAAUCCCCAGGCUUAACCUGGGAACUGCAUUCGAGACUGCAUUGCUAGAGUAUGGGAGAGGGAAGUGGAAUUUCCGGUGUAGCGGUGAAAUGCGUAGAUAUGCGGAGGAACACCGAUGGCGAAGGCGGCCAUCUGGACGGUAACUGACGCUGAGACGCGAAAGCGUGGGGAGCAAACAGG
rnacentral:rRNA from 1 species